rnacentral:rRNA from 1 species
AUGUUUCACACACGGAUUUUGCUGCGGGAAUCGUGUGUAAUUCAAACUACAUUACUCGUAAAUUCUGGCGACCGGCGUGUGUACUAUUCCCGUCAAUCUAGAUCCCGGCCGCCAAUAAAUACUACCUUGCUCACGUCGUCCCGCCUGCAUUCUCAUCUACAUCCUUCCCUCGCUCGCCCUCUCUCUCUCUCUCUCUCUCUCUCUUUCUCUCUCUCUGUCUGUCAAAUCUCUGCCAUGGCGCCGCCGGUCUGCCCACGCGUCGACGAGGAGUCGCCGCCCCCCGAGGAUGCUCACUCGAAUAGCAGCGACGAGGACCCCUAUGCGCCGCCGGACGAGGUUGCGCCGGACCUCCCAACUUUGGAUUGGUUUUGGGGCCAAUACAAUCUUUGUCUAUGGAAGUCGCUGCCGCCGGCUGAGAAAGCCAGGCAAGUGGCGUUCAAGAAGGAGAUGGCAGAGGAGGAAGCCAGGUACCAGGCGGCCUGUGAAGCCCAUGAUGCCGCCUGGAAAAAGGAGGCGACGGAGCUUGGGGAGGGGGGGCGUCGUCGUGCGGAGGAGGUGUACGAAGACGGGUACUUCGCGAGGAAGGUCAAAGGCGGUGGGCGCCUCGUCGCUGCGUGGAGGUGUGUCGAUAAGCUCCAGCGUGCCACCGACGAGGAGCUCCGGUGGGCGCCCAACAAAAUGGUAAGAUCGUUCGCGCUCGUCCGCCAGCAAGAGGCAGAUCGGUACGUCAAGCGCUGCGAGGUGGAGGCGGUGUACUGCCUCCGCACUGGGAAGACGCCGCGCACCAGGGAGCUGCUGGCAGGGGCUGCCGGAAUACUGGUCCCAGGAGGGAUUAUUAGUUUUAGUAUUGUUCGUUUUCAAUUAUAUGCAUUGUACCUAAUAGUUAAGUAUCAUUACGUAUAUGUGAUGAUAUUAUAUAUAUAUAUAUUCUGUGAUAAUGAACAAUUAAUAUAUAUAUAUAUAUAUUAUGAAUUCCAUUUUCUAUCUGUUUUUGUAUACUAA